UACGAAGGGGGCUAGCGUUGCUCGGAAUCACUGGGCGUAAAGGGUGCGUAGGCGGGUCUUUAAGUCAGGGGUGAAAUCCUGGAGCUCAACUCCAGAACUGCCUUUGAUACUGAGGAUCUUGAGUUCGGGAGAGGUGAGUGGAACUGCGAGUGUAGAGGUGAAAUUCGUAGAUAUUCGCAAGAACACCAGUGGCGAAGGCGGCAUCACUGGCCCGGUACUGACGCUGAGGCACGAAAGCGUGGGAGCAACAGG
rnacentral:rRNA from 1 species